rnacentral:rRNA from 13 species
UUAAAGAGUGCGUAAUAGCUCACUAGUCGAGUGACACUGCGCCGAAAAUGUACCGGGGCUAAACAUAUUACCGAAGCUGUGGAUUGUCCUUUGGACAAUGGUAGGAGAGCGUUCUAAGGGCGUUGAAGCAUGAUCGCAAGGACAUGUGGAGCGCUUAGAAGUGAGAAUGCCGGUGUGAGUAGCGAAAGACGGGUGAGAAUCCCGUCCACCGAUUGACUAAGGUUUCCAGAGGAAGGCUCGUCCGCUCUGGGUUAGUCGGGUCCUAAGCUGAGGCCGACAGGCGUAGGCGAUGGAUAACAGGUUGAUAUUCCUGUACCACCUAUAAUCGUUUUAAUCGAUGGGGGGACGCAGUAGGAUAGGCGAAGCGUACGAUUGGAUUGUACGUCUAAGCAGUGAGAUUGAGUGUUAGGCAAAUCCGGCACUCUUAAGAUUGAGCUGUGAUGGGGAGAGGAAAUUGUUUCCUCGAGUCGUUGAUUUCACACUGCCGAGAAAAGCCUCUAGAUAGAGAUUAGGUGCCCGUACCGCAAACCGACACAGGUAGUCAAGAUGAGAAUUCUAAGGUGAGCGAGCGAACUCUCGUUAAGGAACUCGGCAAAAUGACCCCGUAACUUCGGGAGAAGGGGUGCUCUUUAGGGUGCAAGCCCAGAAGAGCCGCAGUGAAUAGGCCCAAGCGACUGUUUAUCAAAAACACAGGUCUCUGCUAAACCGUAAGGUGAUGUAUAGGGGCUGACGCCUGCCCGGUGCUGGAAGGUUAAGAGGAGUGGUUAGCUUCUGCGAAGCUACGAAUCGAAGCCCCAGUAAACGGCGGCCGUAACAAUAACGGU